rnacentral:rRNA from 1 species
GUAAGGAAUAUUGGUCAAUGGACGAAAGUCUGAACCAGCCAUGCCGCGUGAAGGAUGAAGGCCCUCUGGGUUGUAAACUUCUUUUAUCUGGGACGAAAAAAGGGUAUUCUUACUCACUUGACGGUACCAGAGGAAUAAGCACCGGCUAACUCCGUGCCAGCAGCCGCGGUAAUACGGAGGGUGCAAGCGUUAUCCGGAUUCACUGGGUUUAAAGGGUGCGUAGGUGGGUAUUUAAGUCAGUGGUGAAAUCUCCGAGCUUAACUCGGAAACUGCCAUUGAUACUAUUUACCUUGAAUGCCCUGGAGGUAAGCGGAAUAUGUCAUGUAGCGGUGAAAUGCUUAGAUAUGACAUAGAACACCAAUUGCGAAGGCAGCUUACUACGGGGUGAUUGACACUGAGGCACGAAAGCGUGGGGAGCAAACAGGAUUAGAAACCCCGGUAGUCC